rnacentral:rRNA from 1 species
AUGCUCAAAGCCGUGCGCUCGGCGCUGCACCCGGCCAUCGCCAGGGAGCGGCGCGUGGGCGCCUCCAUCGUCCGCCUCUUCUUCCACGACUGCUUCGUCCAGGGCUGCGACGCCUCGCUGCUGCUGGACGACGCGCCGGGCCUGCGCGGCGAGAAGAACGCCACGCCCAACAAGAACUCCGCCAGGGGGUUCGAGGUCAUCGACGCCGUCAAGGCGGCCGUCGAGGGGUGUUGUCCCGGCGUCGUCUCUUGCGCCGACAUCCUGGCCAUCGCGGCCGAGGAGAGCGUCGCUUUCCUGGGUGGGCCGAGCUGGGAGGUGAAGAUGGGGCGGAGGGACUCGACGACGGCGAGCUUCAACGGCGCCGAGAACAACAUCCCUCCCCCGACAUCGGGGCUCGCGAACCUUACGUCCCUCUUCGCGGCGCAGGGGCUCUCCCAGAAAGACAUGGUCGCACUCUCAGCCUCUCUCUGUCUUCCCCGCAGCACCCGCUUCUCUCUCUCACUCUCCCCACGGAUCUGGAUCAGACGGGGCACACCGGCCUCUCCCCUCAACGCCGACCACCAGGAGCCUCCCACUAAUCGGCCACCACGCUCCACCGGCGGAUCGAGGGAGGGGAGGACCACCCCCGCGUGGCUCUGCCCCGAGGUCGUCGUCGCACCACCACGACGGCGGUUGGCUUGGCCGCACCACCACCAGCCCACUCCACCAUGGCGUCCUCUCCAACUGCCCCGCUCCUCCCUGCGCAACCAGAUCCAGCCCCAUCGCCGCCGUGCCCCGCCGUCGUCGACGGGAUGCGGCCGUCGUCUCCUUCGUCUGCCCGAGGUUGGUUGA